rnacentral:lncRNA from 1 species
GCCUUUCGAAGGCUUCUGGCAGCUGCAUAUUGCCACACACCCAGACGGGCGCACGCACGAGAGGCCGGAAGCCGCGGGCUGCCCCCGCCGCCGCGGCCCCGCCGGCGGCUCCCAAACCCCACGCGGGACGGGGCCGCGCGCAAGGGGCAGCGGUGCCAGCUGCAAAUAACGCGGCCUCGCCUCUGCGCCGGGCCAGAGAGCACCCGACCAAGGCAGAGGUUGCAAAACAAACCAAMCAAACAAACAAAAAAACACAAGAAAACCCACACUUUUCCAAGUGCUGGUCUUGACUACCGACCAACCGCAGCAGGGUUACUGCAGAAAGCGACAGGGCAAAGCAAGCAGCGCUCCUUCCACGGAGGGGGGAGGCACCCCAAAGCAAAUCCUUGCUCCGCUUUCUGCCCCGGCAGGGCCUGCCCUGCCUUCGCCCGGCCCGGGGGGCGCCUUACCCGCUGGGGGGCUUCCCGGCCCCCGCGUGCACCAGCGUCUCCAUGGGCGGCCGCCGCUCCGNGGAAACGGCUACCGCGCUGCGACAAGUCGAUUUUAAAGCGACUUAAGAUCAGGCCAGUUUUUAGCUGGGGUCUCUCGGGAGGCGGAGGCACGGGCUGUACCGGCCCCGGCCCCGGUCCCGGCCCCAGCCCCAGCCCGAGCCGCUGCCGCAGGGCCGCGAGCGGUACCGGGACCUGCCCCGGCCCCGGCAGCGCGGACGGAGCCGCCGCUUCCCACCGGCUCCGGCAACGGUCGCCCCCACCGGGGGGGAGGGAGGAGCAGGUCCCGCUACCCGCGGCACCCCGCUACCCCGGUACCGCCGGCACCCCCCGCUACCCCCGGCAUCCCCCGGCACCCGGGGCCGGGGCCACCCGGCGGCGCGGAGGAAGCCCGCGCCCGGCCCAGCCAGCACCGGCCCGCCGCCGCGCCGCGCCGGACCCUCCUACCUGGGGGAGGGGCGGAGGCGCUGCCAGCGCGGCCCCAUUUGACCGCCCGCAGCGACAGACACCGGCGCGGGGACUGCCRGCGCGCUCAGCGGCCGCGGGGCAGCCGCGCAGCCCCCAGCGCCGUCUCCCCCCGCUGCUGCUGCUGCCGCCGGUGCGGGAGCCCCCGGGGGCUGUGCCGAGGCUCGGCCUUGCCGGCAGCGGGCUUCCCACCAGCUGCGCGGGAAGGGUGACCGACCCCCGCCCCGUCUCCCACGCGGAGCACCUCGCCUUUAUUUUUAUAGUUCGUCUUUCUCGGAGGCAGCGGAAACAGCUCCUUUAA